GCCUGUGUGGUGUAGUGGUUUGAAUGCUGGACUACAACUCUGGAGUCAGGAUUCAAUUCCCCACUGGGU